rnacentral:rRNA from 1 species
UACGAAGGGGGCUAGCGUUGUUCGGAAUUACUGGGCGUAAAGCGCUCGUAGGCGGCUAUUUAAGUCAGGGGUGAAAUCCCAGAGCUCAACUCUGGAACUGCCUUUGAUACUGGGUAUCUCGAGUAUGGAAGAGGUAAGUGGAAUUCCGAGUGUAGAGGUGAAAUUCGUAGAUAUUCGGAGGAACACCAGUGGCGAAGGCGGCUUACUGGGCCAUUACUGACGCUGAGGUGAGAAAGCGUGGGGAGCAAACAGG